UGCCUCGAGCCUUAAUUCUUAAUUUAGCUGU
rnacentral:piRNA from 1 species